GCGUGGCUGAAUGGUUACGCAGUUCGCUUUGUAAGCGAAUGAUCAUGGGUUCGAUUCUCAACUGGAAGGUA
rnacentral:tRNA from 1 species